CCUACGGGAGGCAGCAGUGAGGAAUAUUGGUCAAUGGGCGCGAGCCUGAACCAGCCAAGUCGCGUGAGGGAUGAAGGUUCUAUGGAUCGUAAACCUCUUUUAUAAGGGAAUAAAGUGUGGGACGUGUCCUAUUUUGUAUGUACCUUCUGAAUAAGGAUCGGCUAACUCCGUGCCAGCAGCCGCGGUAAUACGGAGGAUCCGUGCGUUAUCCGGAUUUAUUGGGUUUAAAGGGUGCGUAGGCGGCCUUUUAAGUCAGCGGUGAAAGUCUUGGGCCCAACCAUAGGAUUGCCGUUGAAACUGGGGGGCUUGAGUAUGUUUGGGGCAGGCGGAAUGCGUGGUGUAGCGGUGAAAUGCUUAGAUAUCACGCAGAACCCCGAUGGCGAAGGCAGCCUGCCGGGCCAUGACUGACGCUGAUGCACGAAAGCGUGGGGAUCAAACAGGAUUAGAUACCCGAGUAGUC
rnacentral:rRNA from 1 species